rnacentral:rRNA from 1 species
AUACGGAAGGUGCAAGCGUUAUUCGGAAUCACUUGGCGUAAAGGACGCGUAGGCGGGUUGGCAAGUUAGAUGUGAAAUCCUACAGCUUAACUGUAGAACUGCAUUUGAAACUGCUAACCUAGAGUAUGGGAGGGGGGGAUGGAAUUAGUGGUGUAGGGGUAAAAUCCGUAGAUAUCACUAGGAAUACCGAAAGCGAAGGCGAUCUCCUGGAACAUAACUGACGCUAAGGCGUGAAAGCGUGGGGAGCAAACAGGAUUAGAAACCCUAGUAGUCC